AUUGAACGCUGGCGGCAUGCUUUACACAUGCAAGUCGAGCGGCAGCGCGGGGGCAACCCUGGCGGCGAGCGGCGAACGGGUGAGUAAUGCAUCGGAACGUAUCCUGUAGUGGGGAAUAACUCACCGAAAGGUGAGCUAAUACCGCAUAAGCUCUGAGGAGGAAAGCGGGGGACCGAAAGGCCUCGCGCUGCAGGAGCGGCCGAUGUCCGAUUAGCUAGUUGGUGAGGUAAAGGCUCACCAAGGCGACGAUCGGUAGCUGGUCUGAGAGGAUGAUCAGCCACACUGGGACUGAGACACGGCCCAGACUCCUACGGGAGGCAGCAGUGGGGAAUUUUGGACAAUGGGCGCAAGCCUGAUCCAGCCAUGCCGCGUGAGUGAAGAAGGCCUCGGUUGUAAGACUCUUUCGGUCGGGGAAGGAAAUUAGCUUGGGUUAAUACCCUGAGUAGAUGACGGUA
rnacentral:rRNA from 1 species